rnacentral:lncRNA from 1 species
AUAUAUUUAAACUUACAUCCUCAAAUUAAGUGUAAGUUUUGAACCUGACAAAAACAAGUAGAUAUUUUGAAGAGUGGAUUUUUCCUUAAAGUAAGAUAUUAAAACCAAAACACUAAACCCAAACUUAAAUAUUAAUCUCAAUUUUAUUUUUUUAAUUUAAAAAAAAUGUUUAUUUUUGAAAGAGACCAAGUGUUGGGGGGGGGGAGGGGCAGAGAGUUAGGGAGACACAGAAUCCGAAGCAGGCUCCAGGCUCUGAGCUGUCAGCUCCAACUCAUGAACGGUGAGAUCAUGAAGUUAGACGCUUAACCAGCUGACCCACCCACCUGCCUCAUCUCAAUUUUAAAAGGUACCCCACAUAAAAUUUUCUCCUUAGAUUUAUUUUCAAUAUAAAACUGUGUAGGAAAUUAAUUAAAAGAUUUUUUUACAGCAAGGGGUGCCUGGGUGCCUCAGUUGGUUAAGCAUCCGACUUUAGCUGGGUCAUGAUCUCACAGCUUGUGAGUUCAAGCCCCACGUGGGGUUCUGUGCUGACAGCUCAGAGCCUGGAGCCUGCUUCAAAUUCUGUGUCUACCUCUCCUUCGGCCCCUCCCCGGCUCAUGCUCUGUCUUUCCCUCUUAGAAAUAAGUAAACAUUAAAAAAAUAAAAAAAAAUAAAAAGAUUUUUUUUACAGCAAAUGUUUUACCAUAUGAAGAAGUUUAAAACUAUUGGCCUUUUAGCUCACUUCUAGGAAUUUAUCCUAAUUUAGGAAAUAAUCUGAAAUGCUAAAACAGAUGUAAGUAUAAAAAAGUUCAUAGUAAUAUUACUUAUAAGAAACUAAGGAAAAUAGUUUAAAUGACCACUUAAAGGAAAUACUACUCAAGGAACAUUAUACAGCCAUUGAAAACAUUUUUGAAAGAGUUUUAAAUAAUUUGAGGAAACAUUUGUGAUAUAGUGUUAGGAAAAAAGGAAGUGUACUCAAAUAGUUUAAACUUCAUAAACUUAAACUACAUGGAACUAGGACAACCUCAAUAGUCAGUUGCCUGCAAAUAAAAGAAUUAUUGGUUUUUUUCUGCUCUCCUUUACAAAAGAUGUUUCCUUUACUUAUUUUAUUUAAACAUAUUUUCAAAAUUUUCUUCACUUACAUGUACUACUUUUCUAAUCAGAAAAAGAAACCCAUUACUUGUCAUAGAUAUGUGUUCAUGUCCCAGUGAUAUGUUUUCAGUGUCAUGUCAAUAUAAAUAUUGUUGAACAAUAGAAAAGUUUGAUAUCAUAUAAAUCCAAAUAGUGGAGUUUCCAAAAAAAAAAAAAUACUGAUACAUAUCCUAUAACUUAUAAAAUUAUAAUGGUUUAAUAUAGUUUAGUAAUGAUUUUAACAUAGCAGGCUCUCAGCAUGUUUGUGGAUGAUGGAGAGAGAGAAAGAGCACCUCAAUUUACCAAGUUCCUGGAAUCUGUCAGUUAGCUAGUACCUUUCCCACCAAGAGUUUAAUCAUACAGUAUAGUGUCAAAAAGCUGUCCAUAAAAUUGCUCUUAGUUUGUGUGGUAUACUUUUGCAAACUAUUACUUUCUACUUCAAAAAGAACAGUCUCUUAUGUGCUAAAUUAAAAAAAAAAAUGUUUGUUUUUGAGAGAGAGUGUGAGUGGGGGAGGGGUAGAGAGAAAGGGAGACACACAAUAAUCUGAAGCAGGCUCCAGGCUCUGAACUGUGAGCACAGGGCUCCAUCUCAUGACCUGAGCUAAAAUCAAGAGACACUUUACCAACUGAACCACCCAGGUGCCCCUCUUAUGUACUAAUUUUUUAUAACCACAGAAGAGAGAAAAAUUUGUUCUUACCUUGUUUAUUUUGGUCAGCUGUAAGCUUCAGGUAAGACUCUGUGAUCUGACAUCAUCAGUAAAAAAGGUUUCUUGUGGAAAUAACUGGCAACAGUACUUACCCUGUAGGCUUGUUACAAGUUUUAGAGAUCAUGUAUGUAAAGUCCCUAUCAUAGUGCAUUGCACAUUGGCAUUCAGUAAAUGGUGGCUAUUAUGACAAUAUAUAAUAUUACUAUGACAUCUUACUGUUAUAUUCCUAUAUAGAGGGUGAGUUGAAAAAAUAUGAAUUAUAAUCUAUUUUAAAACAUUAAUCUAGACUUCCAGAUAAAGAUGGGGAGUAAGGGAAGAGCACAAAAUUUCUCUCUCCAAAUAUCUUACAAUACAGGAAAAACAAACAGUAAAAACUCCUUUAAAAAAAAAAAUGUCUACAACCUAAGCCAAUGAAGGCCAAAAUAAUACUAUUAUUUGAAAACAAAUACAUUUGGAAUUUCAAGAAAUGAAAUAUGGUUGGAAAUCAGAUUCUCAACAAAAGGCAAGACUGGCAAUCCCAGCACAUUCCCUGAGUCAAUUCAUUCUUCUUUUCUCCUAGAUGAUUAUGCCUCAUCUCUGAGAAGAGAUGAUAUAAACAGUUUCAAUAUGAUAUAUUGUUUAUCCAGUUCUAGGGGGUAGUGGCUGCUUCCUGAAGUUACUCUUAUUUUCACUACUCCCUUUUUGCAUUUUCAGUUCUAUAGCACCUAUCUGACCAAUUCUUUGUACUCAGUUUUUGCUGUUGAAAUUCUUAACAGCAACCAGAACAACUCCUCUGAAGUAUAUACAUCAUCUACCUGCUCAUCAGACUUGGAACAAAAUUCAGUCUCCUCACUAGGGCCUACAACCCUUUUUGUGAGCUGGCCUAUCCAUUUCUCUAGUCUCAUCUCUCACCACUUUCUGGCUCUAAUUGGCUCUGAUCAUUCUGUCUUGAACACACCACUUUCCCACUUACAGGGCCUUUGUACUUACUCUUUUCUGCAUCUGGAUUGCCCAGGUCUUCCCCUGACUUACCGCCUAACUUCAUUCAGAUCUCUUCUCAGAUGUCAUCUUAGAGAGACCUGCUCUCAUGCUCCAUUUAAAAUGCACAAUUCCUUCCCCCAUUCCUCCCAAUUUCCUACCUGGUGUUUUUCUUAUUACUACCUGACACUGUUUUAAGUUUGUUUAUUUCUCCCUCCCCUAUCCUUAACUAAAAGCUCUUCAUAAAUGUAGGAAUAUGUUAUUAUUUUCCACUAGUGCUGGCACUCAAUACAUUCUAGUUGAUAAAUGCAUUUAAUAAAUUGUAGUCAAUGUAGAGGAAAAGUAGAACAAAGUAAUUGCAAAGAAGAUCCUAUGUAAGUGAGACAAAGAUAACAUAAAGCCUGAUUCAUCUCCCUGAGUACAUAAUGCAACAAGUGAAUCAGAACAAGCACUGUAAAGAUGUAACAGAAGAGAAUUUCCACAAAAUAAUGAAAAGAACUGAAUCUGCAGAAAAAUAUUAGACACAUAAUAUUCAGUAUUGAGGCAUUUUCUGGUUAAGCUACUAACCAUAAAGAAUGAAGGAAAACCUUUUCAGACCUCCAGGAGACAACUAAAUAACUUAUCAAGAGGGAGGAAAUCAUGCUGGCCUUAGACUUCCUGUAAGCAAUAUUCGAAGUCAGAAAACAAAGGAAAAAUGUCUGCAGUUUUAAGGCAAAGCCAGCACGACCCCAAACUAUUAUAUCUAAUUAAGUGUCAUUUGAGAAUUGAUGAAAAGACCAACACAAGCAUCCAUGGAUCCAUAUAGAAGAAAACCCCAAAAUUACUUAGUGAAGAGCAGAUAACUGAUGAAUCAAAAUUCAGUAACUAAGAUACUGAGAACCAAGGCAUAUUGUGAGCACGGGAUUAAAAUGCAAAUCAAGACCAAAUGAUCAAAGAAAUUAGGAUUAUAAAACAAAUAGACAUUAAAACCUCAACUUUGUAAAAAUAAUGAUGUAAUGAUGUAAAAAUGUAUUUUUCAUAGCAGAGUCUAUUAGCAUUUCUAAAUUUGAAACAUAUAUAAGUCUCCAGACUCUUUUUUAAACUUCAGAUAUUUUAAGAAAUAAAAUCUCUUGUAGUAAAGAAACAUUUUUCUAAAAGUUCAGCAAGUACUUCAGUUUAUCUUACCACUUCCAAAUUAAAAAUUUUAAUUUAAUGCUUUUAACUUAAAUGUAAAGUACAUGUUCUGAUCUUAAAUAGAUUAUCUUAUUUGUAUAAAUGCAUAGAAAUAUGCCUAACAUGAUAUUCAUUUAAAAUUGAUAGUAAAAUCUGGGAUCUGAUAUUUAAAAACCUUCCUGUAACUUUCUACAUUGUUUAAGUUAUUUAUCAGUGAACAUGUAUUAUUUUUAUGAAACUAACAACACUAUUACCCAUAACAGUGUGAAUAUAGUUAAUACUGCUGAACUGUACAUUUAAAAAAUGGUUAAGAUGGUAAAUUUUAAUUGCUAUGUCUUUAACCACAAAAUUUAAAAAUAAAUAUUAAAAAUACUGUUAAAAAACUCAUAAAAUAGAUCUAGCCAAGGGGCACCUGGGUAGCUCAAUUGGUUAGGCGUCCGACUUUGGCUCAGGUCAUGAUCUUGCAAUUCGUGAGUUCAAGCCCCAUGUCAGGCUUUGUGCUGACAGCUCUGAGCCUGGAGCCUCCUUUGAGUUCUGUGUCUCUCUCUCUGCCCCUCCCCCGCUCACACUGUCUUUCUCUGUCUCUCAAAAAUGAAUAAAUUUUUUAAAAAAUUUAAUAAAAUAGAUCUAGCCAUUAUAGCUUUACAGAUGGAUUAUGACUAUGCUAAAUUUUUCUUAAAUCAACUUUUCCACCAAAGGUAACCCGUCAAAUUACACCAUUCACAUAAUACUCUGUACUUCCUGCCUAUACCUUAUCUAAUUUAGUUUUAGAAAACAUUGUUAUAAGUAUGUAAAAUGAAGAAUACUUAUAAAGAGUAAUAUGUUGAUACUUUAUUAAAUAUCCUAGUGUUACAUAAGAAUGUAAAUAUGUCAUUUGAUUUAUGUAUUUUGGAGGAAAUCUUUUAAUGAUUUUUUUCUGAUUGUUAAAAUAAUUUGUGCUAAUUUUAGAAAAUAUGGGAAAGAAAAAUUACCAUAACCACAUAUAAUGCACUUUGCUAUAUUUUUACCCAUCCUUUUACUAUGCAUAUAAAUGAAUACAUCUUCAAAUAAAUGAGGAUAGUUUUAUAGCCUAAAAAAUUGAACUGUACAUUAAAUUUAAAUAUUAGUAUUUUUCUGCAUUAAGACUUUUAGUGAUUGCAUAAUAUUCCAUUAGAUUGAUAUACCAUGGCUCAUUUAACCACUCCUUUACUGUUGAAUAUUCAGAUUGUUUCCUCUGUAUAGAUGCUGUACUGAAUAUAUAUAUGUCUUUGACUUUGUAUUUGAUUAUUUCUUUAGGAUUGGUUCCUGGAAGUGGAACUACUAUAUCAAAGAUUUGGACAUUUUUAAGACCCCAGAAAGGUAAUAUAGUAAUAAAUGCGACUGUAAAUUUUAACACAUUCUUAGCUACACUAGUUAUUAACACUUGCAUUUUCAAUCUUUGUCAGUCUGAUAAUAGGGAGACUCAUUGUAUAAUUUGAUAAAAUUGCAUUUUUGCUCAUAUACUCAUAUUAAUAACUUAACUACCUCAAGGACUUAAUAUUCUUUGUCUUUUCCAUGAUGCUUAUUCAGCUGGUGAAGAAAUGUAUUUUUUAUUGACUUUGGCAGUAUUUCUUUUAAAAUAAAUUAUAUUUUGAACACAUAGAAAGGUGAA